rnacentral:rRNA from 1 species
CCAGACUCCUACGGGAGGCAGCAGUGGGGGAUAUUGCACAGUGGGGGAAACCCUGAUGCAGCGACGCCGCGUGUGGGAAGACGGUCCUCUGGAUUGUAAACCACUGUCCCCAGGGACGAAGAUGACGGUACCUGACUAAGAAGCCCCGGCUAACUACGUGCCAGCAGCCGCGGUAAUACGUAGGGGGCAAGCGUUAUCCGGAUUUACUGGGUGUAAAGGGAGCGUAGACGGCAUAGCAAGUCUGAAGUGAAAUGCCGGGGCUUAACCCCGGAACUGCGCUUGGAACUGCGCGGCUGGAGUGCAGGAGGGGCAGGCGGAAUUCCUGGUGUAGCGGUGAAAUGCGU